ensembl:lncRNA
GAGAAAGAUGGUGAGAUUGAGAGAUGGAGAGAUAAUGAGAGGUGGAGAGCUAUUGAGAGAUGGAGAGAUGGAGAGAGAUGGAGAGUGAUGGAGAGAUGGAGAGAGAUGGAGAGUUGGAGAGAUAUUGAGAGAUGGAGAGUGAUGGAGAGAUAUUGAGAGAUGGAGAGAUAUGGAGAGAUGGAGAGAUAUUGAGAGAUGGAGAGAUAUUGAGAGAUGGAGAGAUAUUGAGAGAUGGAGAGUGAUGGAGAGAUGGAGAGAGAUGGAGAGUUGGAGAGAUAUUGAGAGAUGGAGAGAGAUGGAGAGUGAUGGAGAGAUAUUGAGAGAUGGAGAGUGGUGGAGAGAUGGAGAGAUGGAGAGAGAUGGAGAGUUGGAGAGAUAUUGAGAGAUGGAGAGAUAUUGAGAGAUGGAGAGAUAUUGAGAGAUGGAGAGAUAUUGAGAGAUGGAGAGUGAUGGAGAGUUGGAGAGAUAUUGAGAGAUGGAGAGUGAUGGAGAGAUAUUGAGAGAUGGAGAGAUGGAGAAAGAUACGUGAUGGAGAGAGAUGGAGAGAGAUGUAGAGUUGGAGAGAUAUUGAGAGAUGGAGAAAGAUUACGUGAUGGAGAGAUGGAGAGAGAUGGAGAGAGAUGGAGAGAUGGAGAGAGAUGGAUGAAGGCAGUAAUUGUGUUUCUCUCAGUAAGAGUUUUUAAGGCUGACCUUUUCCCGAGCAGCUCCUGUCACCCCGCAGGUUCACCAGCGCUCUGUCCCACAGCCUCCGGACGUCUCUUUAGAUUUUAUCACGGGCCUAAUUUACUCUGGGGACAUUUCCUCACUGAUUUCUUCAACAUCUCGUCCACUGGGAACUUUCUGUUACAGCACAAAAGUUUGCACACUGAUAAAACCAACAAGGCAUUUAAUAUGACUUUUACACGGGAGAUGUUGCUUCAUUAUCGUUAUCAGCAAUCCACGGUCACGUGGAUUUAUAUUCCACUUCACUAAGACUCUAACCUCAUCCGUAAAUGUAAACAUAAACAAAAAAAGUAAACAUGUGGUAAUCAUUAGAAAACGGUUGCGGUGUAAGAGUAAUAACACCCUCCAGGACAUGCUGUUGUAGGGAAAAGAUCGACUCUGGGACGGUAAUUGAGGAAAUAAACAAACACAGCGCAUCAUAUACAAGACCACGUAAUGGCAAACGAUGCGCAUCAGCAGGAAAUAAUGUUAUUAUUGAACCAGAUUCAGCAUUAAUUUAACGAUCCUCACGGCGGUUAUAUCGUCAUGGCGAUAUAUCAUCGCAGCAGUACAUGUAGAUGAGCGAAACACACGAUUCUGCUUCUCUAGACAGGAAGUCGUCUGCGCUUUGGGUUCUGUAAGCUCUCGAAACUGUGAGACAUCCAGCACAACACUCAACAAAUGCACACGCUCCAGACAUUUCUGCUGUUACCAUAGCGAUGAGGUCG